GUGGGUGUAGCUCAGUUGGUAGAGCACCAGGUUGUGGCCCUGGGUGUCGUGGGUUCAAGUCCCAUCACUCACCCCA
rnacentral:tRNA from 1 species